rnacentral:rRNA from 1 species
UACGUAGGCAGCAAGCGUUGUUCGGAGUUACUGGGCGUAAAGGGCGUGCAGGCGGUUUGUUAAGUGCAGGGUGAAAGCUCCCGGCUCAACUGGGAGAGGUCCUUGCAUACUGGCAAACUCGAGGGAGGCAGAGGAAAGUGGAAUUCCCGGUGUAGUGGUGAUAUGCGUAGAUAUCGGGAGGAACACCUGUGGCGAAGGCGGCUUUCUGGGCCUUACCUGACGCUGAGACGCGAAAGCGUGGGGAGCGAACCGG